GAGCUUUCUACAGAUCAUGCUGGGAAAUAAUAAAGGUGGACAUUAUGGAAAUGUUCCAUAGUUUUUACAACCAUGCGGUGGGAAAUCUAGGAAGCCUCAACAGGGCAAGCAUCAAACUACUCCCAAAGAAAAAUGAGACAAACUCAAUUCAGGACUUCAGGCCAAUAAGCCUAAUACAUUCGGUGGCAAAGCUGAUAACAAAGUAUUGGCACUCCGGUUAUCAAAACACAUACACAAACUGGUUUCGAGCGCUCAAAGCGCAUUCAUCAAAGGAAGGUGUAUUCAGGAUAAUUACCUUUAUGUCAGGAACCUCAUAACAACCCUGCACAGCCAGAGGAAGCCAAGUCUCUUUUUUAAGCUGGACAUAGCAAAG
rnacentral:lncRNA from 1 species